UACGGAAGGUCCGGGCGUUAUCCGGAUUUAUUGGGUUUAAAGGGAGCGUAGGCCGGCUUUUAAGUCAGCUGUGAAAGUCCGCGGCUCAACCGUGGAAUUGCAGUUGAAACUGGAGGCCUUGAGUGCACACAGGGGUGCCGGAAUUCAUGGUGUAGCGGUGAAAUGCUUAGAUAUCAUGAAGAACUCCGAUCGCGAAGGCAAGUGUCCGGGGUGCAACUGACGCUGAGGCUCGAAGGCCAGGGGAGCGAAAGGG
rnacentral:rRNA from 1 species